CAUAUCUAUUUACCGUUUUUUUUUUCUUAUCUUUCUUUGCUACUCCAGAUUGAAGUCCGAAAAGAUUGACUUGAAAGGCUUUGAGGCUCCUCAAAAAUAGCGUUCAUAGGGCAGUAAAUAGGUUGGCAAACAAGGAAUAGGAGGACCUGUGGUUUACACCCAGUGUCAACAACAAGAUAAUUUGCCUAUGGUUUUAUUUUCCUUCAAGCUACAAGAAGAGCAAUUCUCCAGUUAAAUC
rnacentral:lncRNA from 1 species